rnacentral:lncRNA from 1 species
GCACAGUCAUAGUCUCCAUCACACCAGAAUCUUGCUGAAACACAGUCUCCAUUUGCACACAGAAAGUCUUUCAAAGUGCAGGUUUGAGGCUUACAGUUUUCUUCAUCAGAAUUAUCACCACAAUCAUUUUGGCUGUCACAUCUCCAAUGAUCUGGAAUACAGUUGUUGUUUUUGCACUGGAAUUCAUGAGGCCCACAAGUUUUUUUGUCACAGUUAGCUUCAUCCGAUCCAUCAGCACAGUCUGGGUCUUCAUCACAUACCCACAGCUUAGAAAUGCAGUGUUUUGUU